GGACCCGCACAAGCGGUGGAUUAUGUGGAUUAAUUCGAUGCAACGCGAAAAACCUUACCUACCCUUGACAUGUCCUGAAGCCUGGAGAGAUCCGGGUGUGCCCGAAAGGGAACGGGAACACAGGUGCUGCAUGGCUGUCGUCAGCUCGUGUCGUGAGAUGUUGGGUUAAGUCCCGCAACGAGCGCAACCCUUGCCAUUAGUUGCUACAUUCAGUUGGGCACUCUAAUGGGACUGCCGGUGACAAACCGGAGGAAGGUGGGGAUGACGUCAAGUCCUCAUGGCCCUUAUGGGUAGGGCUUCACACGUAAUACAAUGGUCGGUACAGAGGGUUGCCAAAGCGCGAGCUGGAGCCAAUCCCAGAAAGCCGAUCGUAGUCCGGAUUGCAGUCUGCAACUCGACUGCAUGAAGUCGGAAUCGCUAGUAAUCGCGGAUCAGCAUGUCGCGGUGAAUACGUUCCCGGGUCUU
rnacentral:rRNA from 1 species